CACUAAGAAGCUUAUAUAGCACCAGCCUUUUAAGCUGGAGAUGGAGACAACCGCUCCCUUAGUGACCA
rnacentral:tRNA from 5 species